AACGAACGCUGGCGGCAUGCCUAAUACAUGCAAGUCGAACGAGAUCUUCGGAUCUAGUGGCGCACGGGUGCGUAACGCGUGGGAAUCUGCCCUUGGGUUCGGAAUAACUUCUGGAAACGGAAGCUAAUACCGGAUGAUGACGUAAGUCCAAAGAUUUAUCGCCCAAGGAUGAGCCCGCGUAGGAUUAGGUAGUUGGUGAGGUAAAGGCUCACCAAGCCGACGAUCCUUAGCUGGUCUGAGAGGAUGAUCAGCCACACUGGGACUGAGACACGGCCCAGACUCCUACGGGAGGCAGCAGUAGGGAAUAUUGGAAAAUGGGCGAAAGCCUGAUCCAGCAAUGCCGCGUGAGUGAUGAAGGCCUUAGGGUUGUAAAGCUCUUUUACCCGGGAUGAUAAUGACAGUACCGGGAGAAUAAGCUCCGGCUAACUCCGUG
rnacentral:rRNA from 1 species